UAUCACAUAGCUCUCACUGGAGGCUGAUCUCUGAAGCAAAGAGUGUGUAGCCUAAAAUAUGAGAAUGUUGAGUCUUCUGUACCUGUUGACAGCUCUUCCUGGUGUCCUAUCCCAGGUGAAUCUUCAGGAGUCAGGACCUGGCCUUGUAAAACCCUCUCAGCCACUGUCUGUCACCUGUUCUGUUACUGGAUACUCCAUCACCACCUCUUAUUAUUACUGGAACUGGAUCCGGAAAUUCCCAGGAAAUAAACUGGAGUGGAUGGGAUACAUAAGCUAUGAUGGCAGCAUUUACUACAACCCAUCUCUCAAAAGUCGAAUCUCCAUCACUAGAGACACAUCGAAGAACCAAUUCUUCCUGCAGUUGAACACUGUGACAACUGAGGACACGGCUGUGUAUUACUGUGCGAGACACACAGUGUGGGUUCUCUGGUAUGAUUCCAAACACACUGCCUUUUAG